AGCGCGCAAAAUUAUCAGUCGUAAAUUAUUUUUCGCGGGAUGUGUGAAAAAGUGUGAAGAAUAGAAAAAGAAAAUCAAAGUCAAUUAAAAAGAAGAAAAGACGUUUAUUGUUAUUUUCGGGAUGAAAUAAGCUUUUUGCAAUUGGUUAAAAAAAAACUAUUUUUUAUUGCACAAAAAAAGUUAAUUUGCGUAAAAAAUCGCUAUUAUUGAAAAGAAAUAGUAAAAGUAAAAGACACUUUUUUUUUCUCUCGUGACGUAAUUUUCCGCGAAGAAUGUGACAAGAUUUUUUUUUUUUUUGGGGAUAUUUUGAGUGUGGAGGAGAAUAUUAUUCUCUUGGGCGGUUUUGAGUCAAUUUUCAAAGGGCGUGCGCCAUGGUUAUAUACUAUCUUUUCUAAAUGGGACAAGGGCCUUUUGUCACUCACCGUGUGGCGACCCAUCACAAAAACCAAACUCGACAAUAAACACCCGAUGUCGGCAUUGUCAUUGACACAACAGCAGUCACAAUAUUCUACAAUCUAUACGGUGGAUAUACACACUCUUCUCUUAUGGCUUUUCGGUGAGAGUCUCUGGAGACUUAACGCAGUAUCUAUCUUCAACAUCCAUGAUAUAUGUAGGAGACCCUGUGGUUAACGGACCAGCAGCUGUCGGGCGCCUUCAUCAAUGAAAUAUCCCGCAUACCAUGCUUGCGCAUUUGAAUGAAACAUAUUUUCAAAGUGGGAAUUUGCAAACAACACAACACCAUUCAAAUUUUAAUACAUGUUUCAGAAAGAAAAAGAUUUUAUGUGUUUUUAAAAUACAUUAUAUAGCAAAACUAAAUCGCUCGACUAUUGAAAGACAUUAUAUAGAAGAAAGAAGGAAGAAAAUUAGAGGUUAAGUUACAUUUUAUAAGGAAGAAAAAGUAAUCAUUUAUUAAUUAAAAAUAUUUAGUGAAAAAAAGACAGAAAUAAUUAAAUGAAAAUUGUCUUAAUAAACAUAAAAGUGAAAUCUAUUUGUGUGCAGGUAGAAAAAUAUUCCUUUGUGUUAGUCUUUUGUUGACAAUAAAAGUCUCUUCAAAAGCAUCAGUAAUUAUCUGCCCUCUACAUUUAUUAUUAUGCAGAGUUGACCUCUUCUUGAAAGUGAAAAUUUCAUAGUAAUAUUAAACUAUAUUUAAAAGUGCGUGCGUUGGGAGUGUUUGUUAAAUUUUAUAAUCGCGAUCGUAAUUUCGGGAGUGAAGUGAGUGAAUUUUCUUCGUUAGUGAACAAAAGUGUUUUCAAGCAAAAAAUCAAAGAUCUCAAGUGUAUUCCGAAAACAUGUGCUUGUUACUUUUGGCAGUUUACAAUUUCACACAUCAAUUGGUCCAGAAUAGUGAUGCUGCGAUUUGUUGAGGAAAAGGUGCGUUUGUUGCAGAGAGGUUCUUCAUGGAGGAGAUCUAGCAUAGCUGAGCACAAUUAAAGUUGAGGAAAUGUGUGACAGAAGGGGUCGUUGAAGAAUGUUCCUUUUGUAAUCAAGGUUAAAUUGAUUAAUUGAUUAUCAAGUACCUGGCAGUGCUGAAGAAGAGUAUUGGCAGGUCGCUCGACAUCCUGUCGAAACUUA